GUGUGAUAAUUACAUAUAUUAUCUACUCAAAAAGUUGCAUUAGAAUUAAUAUAUUUCCCCCAAAAUAAAAAUAAAAAUAAAAUAAAAUAAAGAGUCUUGAGUCUCAGCCCGAGAUGCCCUACAUCUCUUAAUUGUGAUCUCAUAAUUAAAGGUCCACUUGCAAAUUUAAAAUUAAACAAUAAAUAAAAUUAAUAAAUAAAUAAGAAAAAGAAAAACCUAAGCGUGCUUUCAGAAUUCAGACUUAAUUACCUUGGUACCAAAAAUUUCUACCUUACAGUGUGAUCAUGUAAUGGAAUUUCCGAUUGCAUGAUAUUCGGAUUUUGCUUGUAAAAGCUGCCAUUGGUGGGGUUUGCUUUGCUCCUCUGCCCGCAUUUUCUUUUUGUUAAUUUCUAUGGGGAAAACUUUCUGUUUGAAUAUCUUUGUAUUCUCUUGUUUCAUCGUCCUCCCUGUUACUUACUCUUUUUAAUAUUCCGAAUUACUCUCUGUCUCUUUUUUUUAUA
rnacentral:lncRNA from 1 species